UGGGGAAUAUUGCACAAUGGGCGCAAGCCUGAUGCAGCCAUGCCGCGUGUAUGAAGAAGGCCUUCGGGUUGUAAAGUACUUUCAGCGGGGAGGAAGGGAGUAAAGUUAAUACCUUUGCUCAUUGACGUUACCCGCAGAAGAAGCACCGGCUAACUCCGUGCCAGCAGCCGCGGUAAUACGGAGGGUGCAAGCGUUAAUCGGAAUUACUGGGCGUAAAGCGCAGGCAGGCGGUUUGUUAAGUCAGAUGUGAAAUCCCCGGGCUCAACCUGGGAACUGCAUCUGAUACUGGCAAGCUUGAGUCUCGUAGAGGGGGGUAGAAUUCCAGGUGUAGCGGUGAAAUGCGUAGAGAUCUGGAGGAAUACCGGUGGCGAAGGCGGCCCCCUGGACGAAGACUGACGCUCAGGUGCGAAAGCGUGGGGAGCAAACAGG
rnacentral:rRNA from 1 species